rnacentral:rRNA from 1 species
AUACGGAGGGUGCAAGCGUUAUCCGGAAUCACUGGGUUUAAAGGGUGCGUAGGCGGCCUGGUAAGUCAGAGGUGAAAUACACGAGCUUAACUGGUGAAUUGCCUUUGAAACUAUCAAGCUAGAAUUAUGUUGAGGUCAGCGGAAUGAGUCAUGUAGCGGUGAAAUGCAUAGAUAUGACUUAGAACACCAAUUGCGUAGGCAGCUGGCUAGGCAUUAAUUGACGCUGAGGCACGAAAGCGUGGGGAGCGAACAGGAUUAGAAACCCCUGUAGUCC